ensembl:lncRNA RPL23AP7 ribosomal protein L23a pseudogene 7
GCCCAGCGCGGCGCCUGGCGGGAGGGCCGCAGGGAGUGCGCAUGCGGCCGAGUGCGGGACUGGGGCUCCUGGCUGUGGGUGUGGUACCGAGGCUUCAGCGGGUGCCGCCCGCCUAGAGGGAGUGGAGCGAGAGCCUACGACUAGAUUUGCAUCUUUACGUCCUGCGCGGAGGCUGCUACACACAUGCAGAAGUCAUGCUGGUGGCCUGGACAGUGAAGGGAGAGAAGUGGAUUUGGGAGACAUUUAGGAGAUGGCACCAAAAGCGAAGGAAGCUCCUGCUCAUCCUAAAGCCGAAGCCAAAGCGAAGGCUUUAAAGGCCAAGAAGGCAGUGUUGAAAGGUGUCCGCAGCCACACGCAAAAAAGAAGAUCCGCAUGUCACUCACCUUCAGGCGGCCCAAGACACUGCGACUCCGGAGGCAGCCCAGAUAUCCUCGGAAGAGCACCCCCAGGAGAAACAAGCUUGGCCACUAUGCUAUCAUCAAGUUUCCGCUGGCCACUGAGUCGGCCGUGAAGAAGAUAGAAGAAAACAACACGCUUGUGUUCACUGUGGAUGUUAAAGCCAACAAGCACCAGAUCAGACAGGCUGUGAAGAAGCUCUAUGACAGUGAUGUGGCCAAGGUCACCACCCUGAUUUGUCCUGAUAAGGAGAACAAGGCAUAUGUUCGACUUGCUCCUGAUUAUGAUGCUUUCGAUGUUGUAACAAAAUUGGGAUCACCUAAACUGAGUCCAGCUGGCUAACUCUAAAUAUAUGUGUAUCUUUUCAGCAUAAAAAAAUAAUGUUUUUCAUAAGAAUGACAACUUAAUUAGAAUCAAAUCUAUAAGCUUUAAGAUUUUACGUUUCUAGUAAGUAUAAUAUUAGCUUAUUUGACUAGAACUCAAGCAGAAUAGGAAUUUAUGCUUGUUUUAUAUUCAAUAAUGAUAAUUUUGAAGAUAUAGUUGUUUUAUUACACCAAAAAUACUAUAUUAAUCUUAUUUAACUAAGUUUUAUCCAAAUCAUGUUAACUUAAGAAACAUUUGAUCAGUUCCUAUAUUUCUAGGAGUUUGGUGAAUAUUUAUUUAUAAAUGCUUAUUUUUUUCCAAGCCAAGUUAGAAUAGAGCACUUUUAGAGGAUUUCAUAAAUGAAUUUUGCAAUGCUC